rnacentral:sRNA from 1 species
UUGACUUAUAAAUGAGAAUCGUUAUGAUUAUCACAUCCGGUCGCGAGACUGGACGGUAACUGAAAGACCUUGGUUCGGACUUUCAGAUUAUCUCCUCAUCAGGC